GAACCAGAUGACCCCUUCGGGGUGAUUCUGGUGGAAUGAGCGGCGGACGGGUGAGUAACACGUGGGCAACCUGCCUGUAAGACUGGGAUAACUUCGGGAAACCGGAGCUAAUACCGGAUAGUAUUUCCUUUCUCCUGAUUGGAAAUGGAAAGACGGUUUCGGCUGUCACUUACAGAUGGGCCCGCGGUGCAUUAGCUAGUUGGUGGGGUAAUGGCCCACCAAGGCGACGAUGCAUAGCCGACCUGAGAGGGUGAUCGGCCACACUGGGACUGAGACACGGCCCAGACUCCUACGGGAGGCAGCAGUAGGGAAUCUUCCGCAAUGGACGAAAGUCUGACGGAGCAACGCCGCGUGAGCGAUGAAGGCCUUCGGGUCGUAAAGCUCUGUUGUUAGGGAAGAACAAGUACGAGAGUAACUGCUCGUACCUUGACGGUACCUAACCAGAAAGCCCCGGCUAACUACGUGCCAGCAGCCGCGGUAAUACGUAGGGGGCAAGCGUUGUCCGGAAUUAUUGGGCGUAAAGGGCUCGUAGGCGGUUUCUUAAGUCUGAUGUGAAAGCCCACAGCUCAACUGUGGAGGGUCAUUGGAAACUGGGGAACUUGAGUGCAGAAGAGGAGAGUGGAAUUCCACGUGUAGCGGUGAAAUGCGUAGAUAUGUGGAGGAACACCAGUGGCGAAGGCGACUCUCUGGUCUGUAACUGACGCUGAGGAGCGAAAGCGUGGGGAGCAAACAGGAUUAGAUACCCUGGUAGUCCACGCCGUAAACGAUGAGUGCUA
rnacentral:rRNA from 1 species